rnacentral:rRNA from 1 species
GAUGAACGCUGGCGGCGUGCCUAAUACAUGCAAGUCGAGCGAACGGACGAGAAGCUUGCUUCUCUGAUGUUAGCGGCGGACGGGUGAGUAACACGUGGAUAACCUACCUAUAAGACUGGGAUAACUUCGGGAAACCGGAGCUAAUACCGGAUGAUAUUUUGAACCGCAUGGUUCAAAAGUGAAAGACGGUCUUGCUGUCACUUAUAGAUGGAUCCGCGCUGCAUUAGCUAGUUGGUAAGGUAACGGCUUACCAAGGCAACGAUGCAUAGCCGACCUGAGAGGGUGAUCGGCCACACUGGAACUGAGACGCGGUCCAGACUCCUACGGGAGGCAGCAGUAGGGAAUCGUCCGCAAGGGGCGAAAGCCUGACGGAGCAACGCCGCGUGAGUGAUGAAGGUCUUCGGAUCGUAAAACUCUGUUAUUAGGGAAGAACAUAUGUGUAAGUAACUGUGCACAUCUUGACGGUACCUAAUCAGAAAGCCACGGCUAACUACG